CCUACGGGGGGCAGCAGUGGGGAAUUUUGGACAAUGGGGGCAACCCUGAUCCAGCCAUGCCGCGUGUGUGAAGAAGGCCCUCGGGUUGUAAAGCACUUUCAGUGAGGAAGAACGCCUGGUGGUUAAUACCCAUCAGGAAAGACAUCACUCACAGAAGAAGCACCGGCUAACUCCGUGCCAGCAGCCGCGGUAAUACGGAGGGUGCGAGCGUUAAUCGGAAUUACUGGGCGUAAAGCGCGCGUAGGUGGCUUGAUAAGCCGGUUGUGAAAGCCCCGGGCUCAACCUGGGAACGGCAUCCGGAACUGUCAAGCUAGAGUGCAGGAGAGGAAGGUAGAAUUCCCGGUGUAGCGGUGAAAUGCGUAGAGAUCGGGAGGAAUACCAGUGGCGAAGGCGGCCUUCUGGACUGACACUGACACUGAGGUGCGAAAGCGUGGGUAGCAAACAGGAUUAGAUACCCUGGUAGUC
rnacentral:rRNA from 1 species